GGCAAAGCUUCAUUCAGUCACUCGCGGAGAUCCAUAAGGGGACCGACUUCUGUCAAGGGCCGGACAGGAGAGGCGCCUUUCCAUUAAUCCGUCGUAAAUCCUGGCCUGUCUGGUGUGUGGCCGGGAAAAGAUCCGGCGAUUAAGAACCGAGGAAGAAUUUAGAAAUGAAAACUGUUUUUCUAAACGGAAAUGGAAAAUUAGAUAUUUUUUUAUUUGAAUUAAUGUGUCUCUGUAAAAUAUCAUAUAUACUCUUGAUUAUAAUAAAUAUAAGUGGUUGAA